rnacentral:lncRNA from 1 species
GAGCUCUAAGAAAAGCUUUUUGACUGUGAUUUAUUGAAUCCUGUAGGAGGCACGGCAGAAAUCAGGGUAUUACAUUAAGAACUUGCCGAGCUCAUUCUGAAUUCUCAGCUUGCCCUCCAGCAUAUCAGCAGUGCCUACAAAUGUAAUAGGAACGCUUCCCAUUCUAUCAUUCAGUAUCGCAUCUCUUGAAACGGAGGGAAUUAAAGCCCUGGAAUCCCGAACUGCAUAGAGUGCCACAGCUCCAUCGAUUUUCAUCUCAUAAUGCCAAUAUGCACCAACCAACGAUGUGACCUAAAACGUUUUGGAAGGAAUCAUUGUAUUAAAUUGCUCGCUUUUCCACAGGGACAGUGGGAAAAAAGGCAGUCUUUAAAGGAUGAGAAUAAACCAGCUACUGCAAUCUAACCUGCAAGUGCUGCACAACUGAAUGCCGGUGCUG